UUUUAAGUGGGACCUUUGCGAAUGCAUCGUGACCCCCCCACUUACCUGGGAGCUUACCUGGUCAACUCAAUUCAUUAGACCGGAUUGGAGGCUUAGGUGCCCUCUUCAAACCAGUUAGGAGCUGUCUAGUGAUUUUAGGGCAAAUACAAGGAUUUGACGUGUUUUUCUUUUAGUGCAUGCUUGACUUGACUGAUCAGAAG
rnacentral:lncRNA from 1 species